GAACGUGACUCAGAGGUAUGUGUGUCUCAGCAAGUACACUCGAUACAGAUCGUCCUUAGCAGAUGACUGAACUCAGGGCUCCGGGAGGCGAGGACCAAGGAACCCAGAGCAAAGCCCUCAAAACUUUUAUGCGAAGGUUUGAGUUAGGGUUCAAAAAUAUGACCUCUGUAAAUACGAUAACAGGAAGUCAUCUUACCUUUCUCACAUUGGAAGAGCCACAUGCCAGUCUACGUGAGUGAGUGGAGAACACUUUCAAGCAUUGCUCAUGGACUCAACACAGCCAAACAAAACAAACUGGAAAAGGAAAAUCAGUGGCCAGAGUGUAGCCAAAGAACAGGAAUCCCCAGCUCACUGCCAGCUCGAUCUUCUGAACUAACGUCACAGGCGUCACACCAGGUACUCACAGCAGUGCAGACGAAGACUCACAACGAGGCCCUCCCCUCCGCAGACACGCAGACUGAGAGCCCAGGCGGUGCUGAGCGGCACAAAGGGUUUGCGUGGAGCCCGUCAUCCUUGAGAAGGUGACGCACUCUCCCAGCCUUGAGAGGUGGAUCGAGGAGGGGGGAGGCAGUCAGAGUGUGUGCGAGGUGCGUGGAGGCGAGCAGUGUUGCAACCCCUCCAGCUCAUCCUCGACAAAGCCGUGUGUGCCCACCACGAGGUGUAGCCGGCCAUAAAGCUGGCGUGUCAGAGGGAACUGUGGCCAGCCAGGGUCGCAAUCAAGGCCUAAACAGCAUGGGCAGCACAGGCAGUUCCCAUGGCCAGCUGGGGGACAGUGGCCUCCACCCUGGGAGCAAUGCAGAGGCCACAAGCCGAGCUGUUGUUACUCUUACAGCAUCUUUCCAGGCAGCGUGUGGGAGUCGGUGAGCGUUGCCCGUGUUGUCAGCUAUUGAGGCCUUUGUACAAAGAUCGUGGAUCAGGCUGCCUAAGCUCUGACUCGGAGACCAGCCACUGCUGCCUGCUCCGUGCACCCUGAACCCGUGGCCUUGCCCCACCUCUUGUUAUUGCCCACCUUAUUCCUUUCCCUCACUGCUCCCCUUGGUGCUGGUCCGUGGUCAGGAGCCCCCACAGCCUGCCCCAACCUUACUUCCCUGGUUCUAUUCAAACAUCCAGACUUAUCCCUUGUCUCAGAAGCCAAUCUUUGACACUAAGUGUCAGUCUAGCUAAGUCUGGGAGGCCGGUCUCACAAAGUCAACCUGCCAGUGCGAUGAUGGAGGAUGACACUGGAUGAGUUACUCCCUCCAGGAAGGACAUUCCACGCAAUUCUACGUAAGUUUCAUUUGCAGCAGCGGACCACAGACUGCGGUGACGGCCACAUAAAGCCGUGUUCUUCCUCCCCGGCCCCAUGAGUGUCUCCAGGCCCGGCUGUAUGCUCCUCUGGAGAUGAUGUGCUGCUGGGCUAUUUCCGCCCCACGGCCUUCACGCCGGAGAGCCCACCAGCCCAGCCGCCUGCUGCAGGACGCUGAGGCCAACACCACCCCAUGCGCUGAGGUUUCUCUGCUGCCUGCAGAACGAAACUCUGGAAACAGUGACUCAGGAGCCGUGUCAAGACAGCAGCAUCCAAGAUGGGGAACCACAGGCCAGGCUGGACCAGGAACCUUCGACAGCCACCCAUGUUCAGGAAACAGCCCGAGACCACAGCCUGCACUACGAGCAGGAGUCGUGUCAACACUUCUGCACACCUGGGAAACUCGGCCCUGCCCAAUGCCUCCCGCCAGUGACAGAGCAGCCUGGGCCCCAGCACUCUGAGCAGGACGGGGAGGGGCCUGGAGCAGAACCCGCUGUGCCAGCCGCAGGAUCUCCUUGUUCUGCUGAAUGACCAGUAAGCUGGACGGAGGUGGACAGGGGGACUCAGAAUCCUCAGGCAGCUCCCAUGGGGAAACUGAGCAAGGGCGACCGUCAAGGAAGAAGAUGCGACACAGCCACUCUGCAGCCGUGUGACCCGGAGGCCGCAGCAGGAAUGGACGCGACGGACGCAAAGACAAGAGGUGCCACGAAGAGGGCAGGGGCCACGAAGAGGGCAGGGGCCCUGGAAAACACUUUCUUUCCAUUGCUUUUGAACCUCUGGUCAGUGACAGCGAUAGUCCAUGCAGGGCCUCUCCCUUAAUUUACUGAUAAAUUAAUUUAUGUAAUAAAUUACAUUAUUACAUAAUUAUUACAGUAAAUUAUUUCCAGCUACAUCCACCGUCACCCCAGGCUCCUCUCAUCACAGGCGAUCAUUUUAAAGAGCUUAGUGUGAAUAUUUUUAUUUGCAUAUGUUUUUUCUUUUUUUAAAAAAGAUUUUAUUUUUCCUUUUUCUCCCAAAGCCCCCUGGUACAUAGUUGUGUAUUUUUAAUUGUGGAUCCUUCUAGCUGUGGCCUGUGGGAUGCUGCCCCAGCACGGCCCAAUGAGUGGUGCCACGUCCAUGCCCAGGACUCGAACCAGUGAAACCCUGGGCUGCCGAAGCGGAGCACACCAACUUAACCACUCGGCCACAGGGCCGGCCCCCUAUUUGCACGUGUUUUUGCAAAACACAGAAUGUUUUGUGUUCAUGGAUUUUUAACUUACCACAAGUGGUUAUGUUAAACAUCGCAUUCUGUUUUCCACUAAACAUCAACAUAGCUAUAUGUUGCUAGAUUCCAUAUCGCUGUGUGUUUAUCUAAUUUAUUGUUUCCACUGCCGCAUAGCGUCCCACUGUGUGCCUCCACAUUUCAGCCCUCUGCUCUCCCCGGGACAGACAGACGUCCACAAAUAGUACUGCAGUUAGUGUUACUGUUACAUCCUCGUGGGGGCCCACGUGAGAACGCUCUAGGGUGCACAGCCAGGAGCUGUUAUUGGGACAUUGGUUAAUUUGACUAAAUCCUGCAGGAGUGCUUACCAGCAUGGCUGCAUCCCUCUGUGCCCGCAUUAGCACCUGUGGAACGUCCUCUGUCUCCAUAUCCCCAGGGCAGGCACCAUUGGCUAGAGGCAGGUCACCCUGUGGAGCCCUUCCCGUUUAGACUAGGGACAUUUUGCGUCUUGCUCCCAGGCAUGCAAAGUCAGUCACGAUCAAGUCUCAGAAGGCCAGGGGAACCUCCCCUCAACAGGAUGGAGGCACCUGGUGUUCAGCACUGCCCUCCAGCUUCUGCAAGAGGACCUGACACACAGCUGGCCCUCGUUCAGUGUUUGCUGAAUGAGUGACUGAAAGAAGAGAAGGUCGGAGUCCAGGGAAGGCCCCCCGACAAACCCGACAUUUGAAUGAGCCUUGGACAGUGAGUGAGUGAGGGUCAGCCAGGCCAGGUGGUGGUGGCACCUACAGCUGUCAUGGGUGAGGAGCUGGGGACGGGAGCACGAAGACAGCAACACAGGCCACUAAGGAAACACUUAUUAUGGGCCCCCUGGGCACUCGCCCCGAUCCCACCCCUCUUCACCAAAGCCGCUGGGACCGAGUUCAGACCCAAGAAGCAGGUCACAGACGGAAACCCUGCAGCCCCAGGGCGGAGACAGGGUCUCUCUAGAAGGAACUAGUCAACUUUCUGCAACGCAGUCAGAAGAGAGCAGGUUUGGAAUGAGGAAGACCCGCGUCCUCCCGGGCUCCCUGCAGUGAGGCAGACAGCGCGGGCAGCUGCUCAGCGUCCUCACGGGGAGGAGCGGGGAGGACGCCGACCCGACAGGGGCCUGAGGAAACUGACGGGGGCACGUUACAGCCAAAGACGCGCAAUAAUGAUAACGAUGACAGGCAGAUGACCGGAUGCUUUUUUGCCGAGCACUUUCCUUGAAGCCUCUCUUUCCCCAGCACCUGCUUCCACUCGGAAUGGCACCUGGCUCAGAGAGUGUGAGAACGUGUCAGAGACGACCACGCCAGCACACUCAUGCUUCAGAUGGGGAAACUGAGGCUUCGAACAGCUCACCCAGCUUCGAACACCAGUUGGAUUCCAGGAGGACAUACCCGGGUGGAGCGUCUGUUUCCUGAGAGUCCGGGCCCUGGGGCCUCCACAGGACCUGUUGGAGGUGCCGUGAUUUAGUCAGGGUGCGACGAAGGGCCAGCGCUUUCUACCUGCUGUCCAGGCUCCUGCUCUUUCUCCCGCUCCCUCAGUUCUUUGAGUUUUUCACCCUGGGAUCUCUUCCCAGCACGAGGAUUUUCAGGGAGAGUUCUAACCAGCAACGGAAAGGACUCAUCUCACAAGAUAGUCUAAGCGUCUCGGGCUUGCAGCCAGGCGCAGAAAGUGUGGAAACGGGCAGGUCCAGGGAAGGAAGGAUGUCCUGACCUAGCGAGGAGGAAUCCUGAGCAGACCUGUGGGGACCUCGCCCACGCUCAGAAAGGGUGUGGCUGAAUCUCUAGCGAAGAUGGAUGCUGAGGGGAAACUGCUGAAAUCACACACAUGCACAGGGACACAAGCACGCACACGCACAGGGAACGGGAGAAAAGAAGACGGAGGGGAAAACGGAGAUGGUUUAGACCAGCAACUCGUAUGAAUGAGCUGCUGGGCAGGACUUGAAGGAAUUGCAUGGUGAGUUAUGAAAAUCCAUCUAAAAUUUAAUUUAACUUAAAAAUCUGAAAGAGGAUACAGAAUCUAUUUUCCUGAGUGUGUAUAUAAACAGAGGAGUUCGUGUUUUAUCAUGAAUAGAGAGUAGAACAACUUGUAAAACGAGUCCUUCCCAUCUCUGGUUAGCACACUCCCUUUUCUCCUGAACUGGAGCUUCACAAACCGUGAAGAGUGUGUGUGAGUGUGUGUGUUGAAUUACUGUCUAGAUAAACGUGCACUUCGUGUCGCAUUGAUUUUCUGGUAAUUCAACCCCGACUCCUGGCAAAGCAUCCUGGGACAUUCCAGACUCAUGAACGCUGUUCUGGAAGGUCACAUCACAGUCGAGAUGAGCAGAAGCCCAAGUGCGUUUCAAAUAAUUCCUGGAUUCCUCUUAAAAUCAGGAAACAGAGCUCUUGCCCUGCUUUUUCUCCUAUUCGAGUAAGUGUCUUUCGUUAAAUUGCUAGUAUUUUAAGAAUUUGACCUAAUCCUCAAAAUACUUCCGUGGGAAAUGUGACAAGUGUUACCAAUACAAUUCUCCAGGGAUUAAAGAGAAUGCACUGUGCAGGCCAGCGAUGGAAGUGAACACAGGUGCCGAAUUUCACGACCACAGUUUAGUGGGCGGUCCAUCGCACGCCGUCAUUUCCUUGCCUCUAGAAAUCCGAAAUACGCUGUGCUGCACUGAACCUUCAAACUUGAGAUUUCUUUAACAAAAAUAAAAGGAAGCUAUGCUAUUAGAUUCCUCUUCACGCAGCACCAGAUCAGUCAAUUCAGUGAAGAAGAAAAGAGAUGAUCUAACAACCAGCACUAAAUCAGUCAAAAUCGCCUGGAGUUGGGUCAGCUGGCUGCAAUGAGAGCAGGGCCGCCCUUCCUCCCCCUGGAUCCUCUCCCUCGUCCCCAGCGUCGUUUCUCCAACACCCUACAUUCUAUUUCUGCCCAUUUUAGCUAAAGCUAAUGGGUCUUAGUUCUAUCAACACCACAGCCACUAAAUAGUGACGGUGCAUGUGAGCACAUGCCCAUCUAGGCUCGUCGCCUGUAGAGAUAGGUACUGUUAUCAUCCCCACUUUACUGAUGAGGAAAUGCGGGCCUGGACUCAGUCCCAUGACUGCCUAACUCCAGGGAGGUGGCCGGCCCUCACAAAGUUUACCUUCCAGUGAAGUCCUUGCUGAAAUUCAGAGCCCUGGGACUCAGGACAGGGAGCGGUUGGCCAGGGGUCUGUUUUUGAGCCCAUCAUCUGUGUUUGGACUUUGUUCUACCCUAAGUUUAACUCCCGCUCUGCAACUUUACCAGCUAUGUGACCUUGAGCAACUAAAGUAAACUUCUCUUAGCCGUUUCCACGCAGCUGUGUGCCUAGAAAGAAAAGGAGAUGAGGAGGUGCCGCCCAGCUGUCUUUGCUGUUACGGUGAAGGUCGCAUGGUGUUUUCUUUGUAUACAUGAUGGCUGACACCCAGGAAGGAUUCAAUAGAUGUUUUCCAAGUGAAGAAAAAAAUGAGGGAGUGUGCCAAAGGUUUUCCAGAUUCUGAUCCUGCUCUUGCUGCGGUGUCAUCAACUGACUUAGGAACACUGCCACUCGGCAAGGCGUUAGCGGCUCAGCCCAGCAUAAUCAACUUCAGCUUGGCUUUGGGACAGAAAAAAUGCCACACAGACACCCACUUCAAAGACACUUCUUCCAUAAAAUGAGCAGUCCCCUAACCAGGAGAACACCAAGGCGGUGCUCACGAUGGCAGCAGCAGAAAUUCAUCUCCAUCCACAAACUCGAGGGUACCAGAAUUAUUCCCUCUGCGUUUGCUCACUUCCUUUAAAUCAACUCCAUUUUUUCUGUAAGCUCCCAUCCCACCUGUCUGGGGCAAGGUUUCCUUUGAGAUGUCAUUGGAGGCUGAAUCUGCUCCCAAGAUAAGACCAGAAUGCAGGAGAAUUCUUGGGUCUCAGAACCGGGGGAGGUCCCCAAUCUCCAGUUUGUCCCAGUUCCUCCUGAGUUCCUUGUUGCCCAAACUGUCUGUGCUUAGGGCGUCUCUGCUGCGCUCCGAGCUGCAGUGGUCAGCCUCCCGAAGACACUCCAUGGCCAUCCCAGGUGAGGUCUUGCCUUCGUGGAGGUGUUCAAGGAGUCAAGGUUGGGAGUCCUGGUGGGGAAGAACACAGUCAAUGGCUGGUACUAAGGUUUGGUGUCACCCUCGUGAUUACUGCCAAGGAACUGUCGGUCUGACCCAGGUGGCCUUUGCAACCUCAGUGUGGAUGUCAACACGGUGGCUGUCGACGGACAGACCUCAGCUCAAGCACUCUUGCUGCGGGGCACUUUCAGCAGAAAAUUCCACAGCACCUCGGAAUCCAAGUCCACACGGCGGAAAGGAGUCUGACCUGCGCCACGUGACAGUAAAGCAGGGAACCCAGCGCCGAGAGGGACGGGCAAGCGCGGCCCACACACAGCCGCCGCCUGGAGACCUUCAGCCCAGCACCCACUUAGACCCGGCUAGUUCACACCCCACGGCCUAUCUGCUCCACUUCGUUCACCUGUCGUAAGCGCUAUAAUUACGUCGUCAUAGCACGUUACUGUCACUAAUCUAACCGCAUUGUCAGCGCUAAGUCUGAAAGCAGCAGGAAUACACUUCAGCCAGACGUCACUGUCUUCACCCACAGAGGAAACGUGGCUGUUUCACAGAGAACCAAACUGGAGUUCCUCAAGGGUGUUGGACUUUAAUCAUCACCAAAUGUUGCACAAAAGUCUCGCUAAGAGACUAGAUUUCACAUUCUGGGCACUUGGUAACGGUGAUAACAAGAUGAUCUCACGUGUGUAGCAAAGCAACUCCACCCCAGCCAGUCUGACCACCAUCACAGCUCAGCGUGACAGAGGGAGCGGCUCGCUAUUAAUCCAUUAUGCAGGAGGGAGCACUGAGAGACUAUGCCACUUCCCCAGGGCCGUAUAUCUGUAUUAAGUGAAACAGUACAACAGGCCAUUGCCUAAAAGCCUUUAAUCCUUUCUGUUAUUGGUUUGCAUGCGUUUUGACUCAUUAAAGGAUACUGUUUCCAUUUUCCCAUUGGUUCAAGGACAACGCCUGGAUUUAAUAUUCUUUCUACAAAGUCCUCAGAGUCUGUUCUUUUGAAUGAAGGGUUUCUGCCAACAGUUCACCCUGCGGACGCCUCCUGGGACGGCAAAGGCAAGACAGCGUGGAUUUGGAGCUGACAUGUUUUAUUUGUCAAGGAACAGAAGCUACUUGGUAUUUUUGCAGAAUGGAUCAUUCACAGUCAAGACAGAUCAUUGGAGAGACUUUAUCUGUUAUUAAGCACCAGCCGUUUCCAGAAUCCAGAAGGGAGAAGGAGUCGGUCACUGGGAUUGUAUGUUUGUGUCAUAACCUUGAUCAGGCAUCAAGAGAAUGGAGAAGAUUUUGGAAGUCUGGAAUUCCAACAGAUUUGCAGGGCCAGGCAAAGGCCUGGAGUCUGAGCAUAGUAGGGAGGCCGAGGGCAUAUCAGAUUUCUGAUGGGAGGAGGCAGAUGGGUGAUGCAUGAAUUCAGAGGUAGGUCUACAAACAGGCCCUGCUCAAAGGGGAUAGGACAACAAGACGGGUAGGAAAACGGGUCAAGCCAAGGUCUGUGUCUUGAGCUCCUUCCAUCCUAUCAGGGAAGAUAUGACACAGCUAGUAGGUAUGAUAGCCAGGACCGCCACCUAGGCCGUCUAGCUCCAGAGUCCCCAGGCCCUUAAUGGCCCAGGGCAUAACUGUAAGGCAUUAAGAAAAGUGCCAGUUGAGUACCACAUGGGAGCAGAAGGAGGGAGAGAGGCAGGCAGAUGCCAUUCUACCUGGAGGAAUGAGGACAGCUUCAGAGAAUAAGGAACGCUCCACAGAGGGGUGCAUUUGAACUGGGCUUGGAUGCUGGGGAAAAAUUUUGACAGGAGACAAGAGUGUGAAUGACGGAAAAGCCCCAUCUAAACUGGCUUAGGUGAAGAGGACAUGUUUUGGCUCACACGUCUGAAAAAUCUAGCGAUAGUUCUGGCUCUGGGCUCCGUUUGGUCAGGGCUGUCUAACAGCGUUGUAGGGACAGAAAGAAAACUUCCUCUGCUAGCCUGACUUCUCCAGCUGGAGCCCUACAAGUUAGACCGAGAAAAAACACAUUAAUAAGAGAAAAACGGAGUUUAUUAACAUGUGCAGGAGUUUAUUAACUCGGAGUUUAAUUAAUUAAUAAAUUGAUGAGGGAGUUUAUAACAUGCACUCAAAGGGGUGGUUAGCCCCUGGGUUGGUAGCAUUUUAACGAAGAGUGGUACAUCUGCAGAGAAGUGAAGAGGCAAAGGCAAAGGUUUGGGCUUCCCAGGGCAGCAGACUCGGGAGGUCAAUUCAUGGGGAAUCCAAGGAGGAAGGUUGUCUGUGCAGGUUCAUCUCGGCACCAAGGCUCCUUCUCCUUCACGGCCGUGAAACUUCCCCGGGAGAGGAGCCCGAGGCAGUCCUCCUUUCUCAGAAGCUUCUACUCUUAGUCAGAUGAAGCAGGCUCCAACAAUGCUUCCUUCUGCCGCCGCUGAUUCUCCUUUUCCUCCAACUCAAAACAACCUUUAUGCCAACACGGCAUAUUUUAAUCCCUCAGCAUCUUCAGGACCUGGUUUCUCACUCUCUCUUAGCUCUGCUUUGGGCCUUGUUGGCCCCUCCCUGAGGUGGGCUCUGUCCUCCUGAUGGCAAGAUGGCUGCAGCAGUCCAACGGCUGCGUUCUUAACCCCUGCACCUGACUUCCUUCCCUGCGAAGGAGCUCAGGCUGCAUCCUGAGGAGACAAGUUCUUCUGUGGAAACAGUAAAUCAACUGCCUGUGUAUUUCUGUACCCCAAUAUUAGAAUAUCUCUAUUCAAUAGUCUGAAUUUACCUAUGUACUUGCUCCAGCCUCAGGCUCCUUGGCCUGUAUGGUGUGUGUGGAGGUGGGCACUGAACCCAGUUGGCUGGGCCUCAAUCUAGAAAUGGCUCCCCAACCCCUGUGGUUCCAGAUGCCGUCUCCCGAGAGGAAGCCAUCCAAUGAGAAACCGGAGGAGCGCUGGACGUGGCAGGAUCCUGCAGCCGGUCUCCACCGCCCACUUUGUGCACACUGACUCCUGGUAAAGCCAGAUCAGCCCGCCCUGAAGGUUUUACCGGCCUGAACUACUUUUCUCCAGUUGUGCAGUAGUUUUUGUCUCUCCUGGGAGAGGAGCACUGAUCUACCAAAGAUUUUUCAUUCCACAAAUAGGGGGCCGCUUAAGUGCACAAGGAUUCCACCAAGUGCCGCGGACACAGCCCCGACCUCCACGGGGCAAAGCGAGGAGGAAGGACUGACCGGCACUUCAGAACCGCAGUUCAGAGUCACUUCAGAGGCUCAAUUCGGAAUUUCAGAACGUGCCUCCCUCGUUCUGUAGUAAGAGCCUGUCGUCUGGCACUAUAUGACGAACCCCUUAAAUGAUGACCACACAGAGUCCAGGGCCCAGUUCCUGAGCAAACGCUUUCCUCCCUCAUCUACCAGUUAGAACUGGAAUUUAUCUGUAAUCCUGGCUGUUUCAGGAUCUCUGCCACUGCUAUGUCCACGGAGAGUUUCAUGGCAGGUGAUGGCUGAGGGUGCUGGUUCUAGAAUCAGGAGACCUGGAUUUGAUCCUCACUUCCACCACUGCCAGCUGUACAAACAGGGCAAGUAUCUUAUCUCUGUAAACCUCAGUUUACCCAGACAAAAACAGAGAUUGCAGUAGUACCCCAUUUAUAGGUUAUCAUGUGAGGGUUAUUAAAUAAUAUGAAGGGGCUAAGAAUAUGCCACCCAAAAUAUGCCACUUUGGCAUAGGAUUAUUUUGAGCUGAAGGCAAUUGAGAAACAAUAGAUGCAGAACAAAGCUCUCCACUUCGUCCUAUUUGCCUAAAAGCAGGGCAUGAAUCUCCCUUCGUGGAGGUGCCCCUGCCCCACAUUCUUGUACCAGGAAGGGUGGAAGGACUUCAUCCCCAGAGACAACUCCAGACUCAUCUGUCAGAGGCGGCACCUGGAGGAAUCUGCAUUACAAACCUUACUAAAAUGAUCAACGCUUAUCUGCCAUUGCUGUCCCUGUACAUUUACCUCCCACAGGGGACCACCCCUAGAAGCUCAAAUCCUUUUCCUCCUUCUUGUCGUGUCUCUACAUUUGUUGCUCUUUGUUAAAAUGGCACAUAAGCUUCCAGGUCUGUCUACCUCUUUGGAGUUUACUCUUCACUUCUGUGAAGGCUCCCAUAUUUAUAGGAAAUAAACCUUUUUCUCCUGCUACUCUGUCCUUUAUCAGUUUAUUUUUCAGGGGCUCAGCUACUAAAACUGAGAGAGUAGAGGAAAAAGGUUUUUUUCUCCCCACAAAUAUCACAUAUUCAAAAAGUUUUGCUUACAUCCUAGCAAAAGAAUGAAGGUAGACCAUUAUCCUACACCAUGCACAAAUAUUAACUAAAAAUGGAUUAAAGACUUGAAUGUAAGACCUGAAACCAUGAAAUUUCUAGAAGAAAACAUAGGCAGUACGCUCUUUGACAUCGGUCUUAGCAGCAUUUUUUCAAAUACCAUGUCUGACCUGACAAGGAAAACAAAAGAAAAAAUAUACAAAUGGGACUACAUCAAACUAAAAAGCUUCUGCACAGCAAAGUAAACCAUCAACAAAACAAAAAGACAGCCUAACAAUUGGGAGAAGAUAUUUGCAAACCAUAUAUCUGAUAUUUUGGUUAAUAUCCAAAAUAUACAAAGAACAUCUCAACAACAAAAAAACCAACAACCCAAUUAAAAAAUGAGCAAAAGAUCUGAACAGAGAUUUCUCCAAAGAAGAUAUAUGGAUGGCCAACAGGCUUAUGAAAAGAUGCUCAAUAUUAUUAGCUAUCAGGGAAAUGCAAAUGAAAACUGCAAUGAGGUAUCACCUCACUCCAGUCAGAAUGGCUAUAAUUAAAAAGACAAGAAACAACAAGUGUUGGAGAGGGUGUGGAGAGAAGAGAACCCUCGUACACUGCUGGUGGAGUGCAAACUGGUGCAGCCGCUAUGGAAAGCAGUAUGGAGUAUCCUCAGAAAAUUAAGAAUAGAUCUACCAUAUGAUGCAGCUAUCCCACUGCUGGGUAUUUAUCCAAAGAACUUGAAAACACAAAUGCAUAAAGAUACAUGCACCCCUAUGAACAUUGUGGCAUUAUUCACAAGAGGCAAGACUUGGAAGCAGCCUAGGUGCCCAUCAAGGGAUGAAUGGAUAAAGAAGAUGUGGUAUUUAUACACAAUGGAAUGCUACUCAGCCAUAAGAAAUGAUGAAAUCCAGCCAUUUGUGACAACAUGGAUGGACCUUGAGGGUAUUAUGCUGAGUGAAAUAAGUCAGAGGGAGAAAGUCAAAUACCUAUGAUCUCACUCAUAAGUAGAAGAUAAAAACAGUGACAAACAAACACAUAGCAACAGAGAUUGGAUUAGUGGUUACCAGAGGCGAAGUGGGAAGGCAGGAGGGUGAAAGGGGUGAUUAGGCACGUGGGUGCGGUGAUGGAUAUAAUUAGUCUUUGGGUGGUGAACGUGAUGUAAUCUACACAGAAUUUGAAAUAUAAUGUACACUGGAAAGUUAUAUAAAAUUAUAACCCAAUGUUAAUGCAAUUUAAAAAAAUAAAGUUAUAAACAGUAUCCUUGACUCAUUUCUGGCUACUUUUUCCUAAAGGUGGCUUCUAGUUAGCUCCUGCGGCCUAUGAAGCAAAUUGUGAUGAACUUCUUCAUAACUUUCUUCAGAUUCAACACUUACAGGGAGCUUGGUGCGUGAGCCCCCAGUGUGAACUACGCACGGUUCCUAUCUCCAUUUACAGACGAGGAAACAAGACUCAGCGACGUGGAAUAACAGAGCCCAGAAAACAACAACAAUAACAACAAACACUCGCAGAAAAUAGAAUCCUACCUCCAGGCUCAGCAAUGAGUGAUUUUCGCAUUCAGAAUAAUGAAAACACAGAAUGUGAGUUGUUAUAAAAUUUUGGUAGAAAUGUAUUUCAGGAUGCGGUAAAAGGAAGGAGAGCUAAAAUCCUCAUCCACUUCCACAUCUAAAAUCGAUGAACGAUAGCAGCAUAUGCAUAUUAUUUAGAAAAGUGGACCCAGUUCAAGAACGGGGAGCUAACAGGGUAGAAGAGAGUUGCCUCUGGAGAGUGGGCCAGUGUGCCCCGGAGAACGGAGCUCCAGCCCUAAGCCCCCUCGUCCCCUUCACCUUCGCAGAUCCUGGGCAGGUGUUGCUGUGUUAAAACAACAUUUGUGGGGCCGGCCCCGUGGCCGAGUGGUUAAGUUCGCGCGCUCUGCUGCAGGCGGGCCCAGGGUUUCGUUGGUUCGAAUCCCGGAUGCAGACAUGGCACCACUCAUCAAACCACGCUGAGACAGCGUCCCACAUGCCACAACUAGGAGGACCCACGAUGAAGAAUAUACAACUAUGUACCAGGGGGCUUUGGGGAGAAAAAGGAAAAAACAUAAAAAUAAAAAAAAUAAAUAAAAACAACAUUCGUUUCAUUGAACUUGGUCCAUAAAUCAGUGCACUGGAAUCAGCAUCACUAGCUCCUCCUGCCCUGAGUGAAGGCAGAGGAUCCGAGCCUCGCCCAGCCCGCACGCUCCACGGCCUGGAGCCCUUUGUCCUGUGUAAUCCAGGCACGGUUGCUGGGG
rnacentral:lncRNA from 1 species